CCUACGGGCGGCAGCAGUGAGGAAUAUUGGUCAAUGGACGCAAGUCUGAACCAGCCAUGCCGCGUGCAGGAUGACGGCUCUAUGAGUUGUAAACUGCUUUUGUACGAGGGUAAACCCCGAUACGUGUAUCGGGUUGAAAGUAUCGUACGAAUAAGGAUCGGCUAACUCCGUGCCAGCAGCCGCGGUAAUACGGAGGAUCCGAGCGUUAUCCGGAUUUAUUGGGUUUAAAGGGUGCGUAGGCGGGUUGGUAAGUUAGAGGUGAAAUGUCGGGGCUCAACCCCGAAACUGCCUCUAAUACUGUUGGACUAGAGUAUAGUUGCGGGAGGCGGAAUGUAUGGUGUAGCGGUGAAAUGCUUAGAGAUC
rnacentral:rRNA from 1 species